UCUAGGAGCUGCCACCCUUUGAACUCUGCUAUGUAGCAGUACCUGCUUUUUGCAGCAAUAUCUGUUAGCAUUACUGUUAUGACUAAUACCCAUGAAGCACCCGUGAGGGCUGUGCUGGACAUUUGCUGUUUUUGUCUGAGGAUUAUUCCUUCUCCCUGAACCUGCCAACGAAAGACCUUCCUGGCCUGGCCAUACAUAGUGACUGAUCCCCCUGGGCAAGCCCUUUCUUUAGAUGAUAGAUGGAAAUGGCCUGUGGAAAACAAUACAACAAAGGACCUUUGGUGGUUCUUAACUGUGGAAACA